ensembl:lncRNA
CAGCAGUGGAAACAUCACCAUUUCUCGACAAGUGCCGAACAACCUGUGUGCGGCUAACAUGACGGGAGUUAUCACUUUGGUACCUACAGAUUCCCACUAUGAUGCCUACUGCUAUAAUCAGACAGAUCUGUCUAACAGAAGCUGCAAUUUUGAAAUAAAAUCUCUGGGGAAUGAUCCUGCACAUCCUGAGACCAGUGAGAACAUUGGAAGACAAGUUUUUAACAGCACUAGAAUUCCAGCUGAGCACGUUUAUGCAAUGGAUUCAGUUGAGUUACACACCAGUCGCACCGUUACAGCUGUUCAUGACCUAACUCCUCCCACAGUGAAGACGAAUCCCACUGCAAACAACUCUCAUGAUGAGCCUGAUGUAUCAGGAGAUGUGCUGGAUCAGAACACACAACCUCCCACCAUGACUACUGAACCCUCUGGAAAAUAUGAUGAUCUGACCACUGAGAGUGCUGAGUUUACAGAAAAAAAUAGAGAAGAAGUUGCAGAUGAUACCACCACAACAUUUAGCCUAGAAAACACUGGCUCAGGUACGGAAGAGCCAAUAGACGCCACCACAAGUGAACCAAACACUGAAGGCUCAAAGGACAAACAAGAGGACCACAUAAAUUACACAUCUGAGAGUCCACCAGCACCGACCACUGAAGUGAAUUCACGUCAGUCUGUGCAAUCGAAAGGGAGGAAGGGACCUGGCAUAGCUUCAUCACCAGAAGAGAAUACCAGCAGUGGCAGCACCAAAGAUUGGUUGGUCAUCUUGAUUGUGAUUGUGGCCAUCGUUGCUAUUAUUAUUCUGGGUGCUUUUGUGGUAACAAGGAACAGGUGGUGUGGGAGAAGCCAGACUCUGAUGAUCACCUCCAAGAGCAGCGGUGAGGGCAAUGGGACAGCAGCAUCAGCGGCCAGCCCCGAGGCUCAGGAGAGAGAGCAGGAAAUGGUGACGCUUAUGAACAAAGAGAAGAUCCAGGAGAAUGGCAACACGGAGGAGUUUACUGUGAUCACCCUGGAAGAAUCACCAGAGAAAAACCAGGAAGCAUGAAAGACUGAAUGAGACGGGUUGAGGAUGAGGGAUCAAAAGGUUGGGGGAGAGAGUGAUGGGUCAUGGCUUAAGUCUUAACCAGAGAGAUAGAAGCUGUUAGACACUUUGGGAGCCAGACAGACACUCAGAUACUGUUGGUGACAUAAAGUGUCAAAAGUCUUGUUUGGUCUUUUUAUAUGAAAAAUUUCCAUUUCCUUAAGGGUA